rnacentral:snoRNA from 1 species
GGGAAUGAUGAUUUCACAGACUAGAGUCUCUGACACAUGGUCAUGAUGUCAAAACUAAGUUCUGACUC